UACGAAGGGGGCUAGCGUUGCUCGGAAUUACUGGGCGUAAAGGGCGCGUAGGCGGACAGUUUAGUCAGAGGUGAAAGCCCAGGGCUCAACCUUGGAAUUGCCUUUGAUACUGGCUGUCUUGAGUUCGGGGAGAGGUGAGUGGAAUGCCGAGUGUAGAGGUGAAAUCGUAGAUAUUCGGCGGAACACCAGGUGGCGAAGCGACUCACUGGCCCGGAUACUG
rnacentral:rRNA from 1 species